rnacentral:snRNA from 1 species
AUCGCUUCUCGGCCUUUUGGCUAAGAUCAAGUGUAGUACCUGUCCAGUGCAAAAAUCCAUUAUCAGAGCAUCCUUGACUGAUAGUCAUUCAUCUUCUGCUAAAGCUUCUUCAGCAAAGAAAGUCCAUCAGUUUCUAAUUAAGAUUUUUUCCCCUAAUGUCCAGCUAAAAUCUGUACUCUUGGGCAAGUGGU